rnacentral:rRNA from 1 species
CCUACGGGGGGCUGCAGUGGGGAAUAUUGGACAAUGGGGGGAACCCUGAUCCAGCCAUGCCGCGUGUGUGAAGAAGGCCCUCGGGUUGUAAAGCACUUUCAGUGAGGAAGAACGCCUGGUGGUUAAUACCCAUCAGGAAAGACAUCACUCACAGAAGAAGCACCGGCUAACUCCGUGCCAGCAGCCGCGGUAAUACGGAGGGUGCGAGCGUUAAUCGGAAUUACUGGGCGUAAAGCGCGCGUAGGUGGCUUGAUAAGCCGGUUGUGAAAGCCCCGGGCUCAACCUGGGAACGGCAUCCGGAACUGUCAAGCUAGAGUGCAGGAGAGGAAGGUAGAAUUCCCGGUGUAGCGGUGAAAUGCGUAGAGAUCGGGAGGAAUACCAGUGGCGAAGGCGGCCUUCUGGACUGACACUGCCACUGAGGUGCGAAAGCGUGGGUAGCAAACAGGAUUAGAUACCCGUGUAGUC